GUCCUUGGUCAGGCCCUGAGAGGUGCUCGGGCAGUCCCAGGGAACAGGACAGAGGAGGAAAUGACCCCAAGCUGUGUUAGGGGAUGUUCAGACAUUGCCUGGCUGUUCCCUUCUGGAGCUGGAAGCCAAUUUCCCACUGAUCUCUCUGAGCGGCACAAACGUUCCUAUCUGCAAGGAGCAGGUUCCUCUUCUCUUCACAGACACUGAGUGAACCUUUCCUGCUUUCUGAAGGCAGACCCUCAUGAAAACUCCUGUCUGGGAGCUCUCACAGGUGGGCUGACACAGGGAUAGCUGUCCAAGCUUCCCUCCCUCCCUGCCCUGACAAACAAGGACAGCCUGGAAUUCUGAUGUUGCUGGGAGAGCUCUGAAAGCUGGGUCAGGGCCUUGCCCCAUGGUCACUUGAGAGAAAGGGCUCUGGUGCCUCAGGUGAAGAGUGGGGAUUCCACCAGGACUUGGCCCAGCAUCAGCUUCCAGCAGGGAAAGCAAACCAACCUUCCCAGUUUGGAGAAUUGAAUCCCAACAUCCAUUAAUUGAAUGCUUAUUGAAGGGCAGAGUCUGCAGAUCCAGCAGGAACAGUGGCUGCAAGUGUCACCAGAAACUGCCACAAUCUCUGGUGAGGGUUUUUACUUUUUAUCAUUCCUUCUGCCUUUCCCUGCCAGGAGCAGGUGAGAAUUUGGGAUUUCUCCCACAGGAGACUCCCUGGUGCCG